GGCUCAGGACGAACGCUGGCGGCGUGCUUAACACAUGCAAGUCGAACGAGGAUAUACCAGAGGAGAGCUUCGGCUGGAAUCAGGCAUAUUCGAGUGGCGGACGGGUGAGUAACGCGUGAGCAACCUGUCCCAGACAGGGGGAUAACACUUGGAAACAGGUGCUAAUACCGCAUAAGACCACGGUAUCACAUGGUAGUGGGGUAAAAGGAGCAAGUCCGGUUUGGGGUGGGCUCGCGUCCGGAUUAGAUAGUUGGUGAGGUAACGGCCCACCAAGUCGACGAUCGGUAGCCGACCUGAGAGGGUGAUCGGCCACAUUGGAACUGAGAGACGGUCCAAACUCCUACGGGAGGCAGCAGUGGGGAAUAUUGGGCAAUGGGCGAAAGCCUGACCCAGCAACGCCGCGUGAGUGAAGAAGGCCUUCGGGUUGUAAAGCUCUGUUAUAGUUGACGAAGGAAGUGACGGUAGGCUAUAAGGAAGCCCCGGCUAACUACGUGCCAGCCGCCGC
rnacentral:rRNA from 1 species